GUUACAAGUCCCAGAUUGCACUGGUGAUAGAACUCCUAAAGCUUCAGCAGAAAAACCAGAUCCCAUCUCAGGUGACUGCUGAAGACAUGAUCGACCUCAUUUUGGAGGAGAGCAAAAGUACGCGGAGAGAACGGUGUGGGCAGUGAACGUCAGCAAUAAAAUGAGGGACGUUGAGUUUGAAGCCCGAAUGCUCCUCAAGUCCCCAGAGCCCCUACCUCCUAAUUUUCAACAUCCUAAAGUCCUCAGCAUGGCAC